AUGCUCCCUUUGGCUUCACAUAUACCAAGGUUAGAAUGAUAUAAAGAAGAUUAACAUGGCCCCUGUGCAAAUGAUGUACAAAGUCAUGAAGUGUUCCAUAUUUUU